GGUGAGUAACACGUGGAUAACCUACAUAUAAGACUGGGAUAACUUCGGGAAACCGGAGCUAAUACCGGAUAAUAUAUUGAACCGCAUGGUUCAAUAGUGAAAGACGGUUUUGCUGUCACUUAUAGAUGGAUCCGCGCCGCAUUAGCUAGUUGGUAAGGUAACGGCUUACCAAGGCAACGAUGCGUAGCCGACCUGAGAGGGUGAUCGGCCACACUGGAACUGAGACACGGUCCAG
rnacentral:rRNA from 1 species